ACUUAUUAAUGGUUAUGCAGCCACUCACUAGCUGACCAACUCAUCUCAGCUUCAAGGCAACUCAAUCUGGAAAUAACAGACAAUGGAAACAGCUUCUACUGUGUGGGUGAACAAUGGGUCCUCCUGAGGCAGUGGUGUAGCAGGUGUUUCGCUCGACACUGUGGGGGCAAAGACUGUCUCCCUUGUGAUAUACUGCAGUCAAUGUAUUGCCUCCACACACAGCAACACUGUUCUUCCAAGCCUUGAGUUUCCUCACUACAGUGUCAUUCAGAAUAAGCUCCAAGAUUUGUUGGUGUUCCCACAAGGAUCUUCCUCAGCUCUGCCAGCUUGCAGUCUCUCAAGGGCCUCAGUCAAGAUUCUCCUCCAGGCCUGGCCACAUGCUGCCUCUGUCUCCAAGAACACACCUACUCAUUUCACACUGAUAUAAGCAACCUUUUCAAAGUCCCUCACAGCAUUUUACAUUUCUGACAACAAGCAAUAUUUAAUGGGCUCCUACACACACACACACACACACACACACUCCUAGAUUAGACUUACCUUUAGGAUUAAUGUUAAGUUUUCCCCAUCCCCUAUGUACAUUUUCUGUUUGUCAACUGCCUAAAUAAUAAACCGUUUAUUAUUAUUAUUACACA